GAAGCUCUCAACCCUAUCAUGGCCAUCGUUCAUUUCCAGACAUUCCCAUUCUUUCUUAACGUAGAGGGCUGCACCACUGCCUUUCCUGCCUUGCCUCUCUCUUUUGAAAAGUCGCUAGCCAUCCAUCACAGCACUCCAGCUGUGUGAGUCAUUCCACCACGUUUCUGUGAUUUUUCUCCUGUUUUUGGAUUCCAAGAAAAGCCAGGUAGGAUUAUUUUUAUUGUUAUUCUUUUUUUAAUGGCAGGCAUUGUGUUCAACUUAAAAAAGGAACGCAUGAAGAAUAGCUUUGUUUGCAUUCUGGUAAGUGCUGAGGCUUUGGCUGAUGACAGCUUUCAGCUGCAGCUGAACUAGGCUGGAUUUGUCUCCUGCUCUCCAUAGGUGAGUGUUUCUCUUCCAGAUCUUUGAAUCAGCUUUCUACACGGCUUAAGCGAUGGAACAGGAAAGACUCCAAUAUGGUAACAACGUGAUUUCUAGUGUUUUGGAAAGAUUGUUUCACGUGUAAUGAAAAGCUAGUGUCCAGAUGAUCACUGCGGCCAGAUGGCAAUUUUGAUGCCCUCGUCACUAAGACUUGUCCAAGCCCUGAUGUAUGUGAAGCUCAUCAGGAGGGAAUGCUCGCAAGAAUCAGCUAACACAAUAGCAGCAAGCUUUCAGUGACAGCGUUCAGGAAGGGUGACGAUUCAGGCUGGGAGCAGGUAUGUCAUCACCUGACUUGACCACAUGUAACUUGAUGCUAGAAGUACACCACGUCCUCCCUCCCUGCAUGGCAAGAGAUUGCUCUCUUCUCCUGCAAAGGCAGCCAAAGUAACUUCUGUGUGCUGACUAGAGAGAGAAAACUUGGUGUCACUCCUCGCAAGUCCUGUGGCAGCCAGAUACUGUGUUAGCCACUCACAGGUAGCAUGUCUUUGGUAUCAGGGUGUAAGAGAAUGAACUCUGUAGGAGCGCUGCUGUCAUAGGCCACCAAGGGCCCGGGAUGCCUGGCUGAAAUUUGAUGUUGCAGAUACCUUGGUGUCACUGGAAUCCAUGGAGUUGACACAGUCCUCUGAUGGCUGGAUUUCGGCUUUCUAAGGGUGUAUGGGAACUGUAUAAUCACAGCCUGACCCUCUGUUUGACCACCUGAGGCGAGUGCUGAGUCAGCUGCAGGGGCACAGGUGAUGGCAGUUUCACCUGAGUGACCGGAAGGGGUGGACCCUGGCUGCAGCCCUGCUAGACCCCAUGUAAGGGCUGACUCCCAAGGAGGAAGGCUCUCUCUCUGGAGGUCACCCUUAGUGGAGCUGUUCUGCGCACCCAGGGUACGGGAAAGCAGUGCGGAGGGAACGUGUGUGGUGAGAUGCUGAGGAGAGAUUGCCUUCCUUGCCCCAGCAGGCUGCUUGUGUCCUGGUGAUGCACGGUGACGAGAAGGCUGCUGUUCUGUGA